rnacentral:rRNA from 1 species
GACGAACGCUGGCGGCGUGCUUAACACAUGCAAGUCAAGGGGGUGUCGUCGCAAGACGGCGCAACCGGCGAACGGGUGCGUAACACGUGAGCAACCUGCCGAGGUGUGGGGGAUAGCCGGCCCAACGGCCGGGUAAUACCGCAUACGUUCUCUGAGGGACAUCCCUUGGGGAAGAAACCGAUGGGGCAACCCAUGGGGCAGCUCGAGGGGCUCGCGGCCUAUCAGCUAGUUGGUGUGGGAACGGCCCACCAAGGCGACGACGGGUAGCUGGUCUGAGAGGAUGGCCAGCCACAUUGGGACUGAGAGACGGCCCAGACUCCUACGGGAGGCAGCAGUGGGGAAUCUUGCGCAAUGGCCGAAAGGAUGACGCAGCGACGCCGCGUGGGGGAGGAAGGCCUU